UGCCUAAUACAUGCAAGUCGAGCGAACAGACGAGGAGCUUGCUCCUCUGACGUUAGCGGCGGACGGGUGAGUAACACGUGGGUAACCUACCUAUAAGACUGGGAUAACUCCGGGAAACCGGGGCUAAUACCGGAUAAUACAUGAAACCGCAUGGUUUCAUGAUGAAAGACGGUUUUGCUGUCACUUAUAGAUGGACCCGCGGCGUAUUAACUAGUUGGUAAGGUAACGGCUUACCAAGGCAACGAUACGUAGCCGACCUGAGAGGGUGAUCGGCCACACUGGAACUGAGACACGGUCCAGACUCCUACGGGAGGCAGCAGUAGGGAAUCUUCCGCAAUGGGCGAAAGCCUGACGGAGCAACGCCGCGUGAGUGAUGAAGGUCUUCGGAUCGUAAAACUCUGUUAUUAGGGAAGAACAAGGAUGUAAGUAACUGUGCAUCCCUUGACGGUACCUAAUCAGAAAGCCACGGCUAACUACGUGCCAGCAGCCGCGGUAAUACGUAGGUGGCAAGCGUUAUCCGGAAUUAUUGGGCGUAAAGCGCGCGUAGGCGGUUUUUUAAGUCUGAUGUGAAAGCCCACGGCUCAACCGUGGAGGGUCAUUGGAAACUGGAAAACUUGAGUGCAGAAGAGGAAAGUGGGAUUCCAUGUGUAGCGGUGAAAUGCGCAGAGAUAUGGAGGAACACCAGUGGCGAAGGCGACUUUCUGGUCUGCAACUGACG
rnacentral:rRNA from 1 species